UACGUAGGUGGCAAGCGUUAUCCGGAAUUAUUGGGCGUAAAGCGCGCGUAGGCGGUUUCUUAAGUCUGAUGUGAAAGCCCACGGCUCAACCGUGGAGGGUCAUUGGAAACUGGGAAACUUGAGUGCAGAAGAGGAGAGUGGAAUUCCAUGUGUAGCGGUGAAAUGCGCAGAGAUAUGGAGGAACACCAGUGGCGAAGGCGGCUCUCUGGUCUGUAACUGACGCUGAUGUGCGAAAGCGUGGGGAUCAAACAGGAUUAGAUACCCUGGUAGUCCACGCCGUAAACGAUGAGUGCUAAGUGUUAGGGGGUUUCCGCCCCUUAGUGCUGCAGCUAACGCAUUAAGCACUCCGCCUGGGGAGUACGACCGCAAGGUUGAA
rnacentral:rRNA from 1 species